rnacentral:misc_RNA from 1 species
GAUGAAGAACGCAGCGAAAUGCGAUAAGUAAUGUGAAUUGCAGAAUCCAGUGAAUCAUCGAAUCUUUGACCGCACAUUGCGCCCGCCAGCAUUCUGGCGGGCAUGCCUGUUCGAGCGUCAUUUCAACCCUCGACCUCCCUUUGGGGAAGUCGGCGUUGGGGACCGGCAGCACACCGCCGGCCCUGAAAUGGAGUGGCGGCCCGUCCGCGGCGACCUCUGCGUAGUAAACCAACUCGCACCGGAACCCCGACGUGGCCACGCCGUAAAACACCCAACUUCUGAACGUUGACCUCGAAUCAGGUAGGACUACCCGCUGAACUUAAGCAUAUCAAUAAGCGGAGGA